UGCUGUGCGUUGACUGCCGUGGCUAGUUUCGUCAGUUUCGUGGUCCUCGGUAGCUGCGUGCUUCUGGUCCGCGAUGUUUCGCCCGUUUCACGACUCGUAUCGCUCGUGCAUCGUGCAGUGGUGCACAAAUACCCCAAAAACAAGCCCUGCAAGGUUGUUCCGGGUGCCUAAAGACAACAGCUGAUGUCAUCCGGGGGAGCUUCGUACGGCAACGACUGCUGCUUACCUGGUGCCCCAACUUUGGAUGAAUGUAGAAGCCCGGAACGAGUAUUAAUAUAGAGCAAAAUAAACAUUUCAUCAUUUCAGAA